rnacentral:lncRNA from 1 species
UAACCUAAUUCCUUUCCUUGGAGACUUUGAGAACCUUCUCCAUUGUUGCCAUUUUCAUCUCUAACACCCUUUCUCAAGUUGGAGAGGGAUGAAAGUACUCCCAACUUGCCCAAUAAUCGGUGAUGAAAAGGGCCAGUAAGAGGCUUUGUGAAAAAAUCAGCGAGCUAAGAAGAGGAGCGAACAAAUGAUAGUAAAAUCAAACUUGCCAUGAACUGCUGAUGAACGAAACGAAAACCAAGCUUUGCAUGCUUUGUUCUUUCAUGAAAGACAGAGUCUUUUAGCUAUGUGAAUCGCCGCUUGGCUGUCAGAGUGAAGAGGGACCGGGAGGGAUAUUGGAAUAGAUAAAUCAUCAAAGAGUCUGACUAACCAGGUAAGCUCUGCGACUACACGCCGCAUGGAUCGAUACUCAGCUUCUGCAGAGCUUAGAGAAAUUGUGGUCUACUUCUUCAAUUUCCAAGAAAUAGGAGAAAAUCCCAGCGAAAUGUAGAAACCACUGACAGAUUUGUGCGAUUCUGAGCAUGUGCUCCAAUCGGAGUCACAGAAAGCCAGCAACUGAUACGAAGGGGAGGAAGUCAUGAAUAAACCAAGACCAAGAUCCUUUGAUGAAUAUCGAAGGACACGAAGGGCUGCUUGCAUGUGAGGAACUCUUUGAACCUGCAUAUAUUGGCUUAGAUGUUGUACAGUGAAGGAAAGAUCCGGCCUUGUAUGAGUUAAAUAGUUCAGCUUUCCCAACAAAUGGCGAUACAAGGUCGGGUCUUAGAUAGGAGCACCAGUUUUGGCCAACAAUUUGAUAAUGGGAUCAAGUGGACAAGAAACGGAUGGCUUGUGAGUACAAUAAAAUUCCAGCAACAAAUCAACACUGAAUUUCCGCUGAGUAAGAAUUAGUCCCUUAGAUUCACGCAGUACCUCCAUUCCAAGAAAAUAAUGUAAGUUCCCUAAAUCCUUUAUUUUGAAUUCCUGAUGUAGAAAAACUUUCAAAGCAUGUAGCUCCUCUAAAUUAUUUCCUGUCAAGAGUAUAUCAUCGACAUAGACUGCCACUAUAGAGAAAGAGGAGUCAGACCUUUUAAAGAAUAGGAAAUAAUCAUUGAGAUAAUGGGAGAAACCUUUAAAAUUAAGAGUUGCUGUUAAUUUAGCAUACCACUGCCGGGAUGCUUGACGAAGCCCAUAUAGUGACUUAUUUUACUUGCAAACGUGUGUAGGAGGAGGAGGAGAGAAACCAAUUGGAAACUUCAUGUACACCUCUUCAUUCAAAUCCCCAUGCAGAAAUGUAUUAUUCACAUCUAACUAAAAAAUUCCCAACCUUUCUUAACUGCUGUAUCUAGAAUGCAUUUGAUGGUGGUCAUUUUUACCACUGGGGAAAAUGUUUCAUUGAAGUCUAUCCCUUCUUUUUGAAUAUCCCCUCUAACUACACGUCUAGCUUUGAGACUUUCCACACUUCCAUCAGAGUUAUGCUUUACUUUAUACACCCACUUGCACGGUAAUGCCUUUCUACCAGGAGGUAAUUCCAUGACCUCCAAGGUGUGAUUGAGCUCAAGUGCCUCUAUCUCUCUUUCUAUUGCUUCCUGCCAUCCUGGGUGAUGGGCUGCUUGGGUAUAACUGGUUGGUUCUUGGAUAGCGGAUAGGGAAUUUAGGAGAUUUUGUUUGGAUGUAGAUAGGUUAUUGAAUGGAAAACUAGAAGGUGUUACAGGUGACAGGAAACAAGAACCACUUACAUCAGUCAAUUGAAUAUCAUUGCAAAUGUAGUCCUUGAGGUAAGGGGGAGGGUUGUGUGGCCUUGAGAAUUUUCUAAUAAGAUUGUCCAACAUGGGUUCAGUAGCUGAAGGUGAAGCAGUAUGAAUGAGAGAGUGAGAGACAAAAGAAGAAGAUGGUGUAGGACUGGAAGGUGGAAAAUCAGGAAAGUCUUGCACAGGAUGAUCUUCAUUAGGCAGUUCUGAAUGUUCAGUAGUAGGUUGUGGUAAAUCAAGGGAGAAGGUAUGAGAACUGGACAUUAGUGAAGUAGGUAAAAACGAGUCAGUUGACCCCUUGGAUGUGAUGAGGAAAAAGGGAAGAAUUCUUCAGGAAAAAUAACAUUCCUAGAAACAAAAGGCUUUAGAGUGCUAAGAUUGAGAACCGUGUACCCAUUCUUUCCAUGUGGAUAACCUAAGAAACACAAGGCAUAGCCCUUAGUUGGAAUUUUGUUUUGUGACUUGAGAGAGUAGAAACAAAACACAGACACCCAAAACACCUCAAAUUAAAGUAACUAGGUUUGGAUUUAAAAAGAUCCUCAUAGGGUUUUUUUGUAAGAAAGAACUUUGGAAGGAAAACUAUUGUCAAGUAUGUAGCAGUUAGAACGCAAUCCCCGCAAUAAGCAAUAGGCAAUUUUGAUUGGAAGAGAAGGGCUCGAGAUGUCUCUAAAGGUGUUUAUGUUUCCUCUCCACAACCCCAUUUUGUUGUGGAGAAGCUACACAAGUAGUCUGAUGCAUAAUUCCAUGUGAAGAAAACUAAUUAGACUGCAGACUCCCACUCCCUAAUUCAAAAGCAUUGUCUGACCUUAUUGUCUUGACCUGGGUAUUGAAUUGUCUUUCCACCAUUGCUAAAAAUGACUUAAGAAUUAGGAAUGCAUUUGAUUUUGUACUUAGUAGAUAAGUCCAUGUUCCUCUACUGUAGUCAUCAAGAAUUGUAAAAAAAUAUUUGUAACCAUCAUAGUUUGGCUGCUAUAGGGAUCCCAUGGGUCUAUGUGAAUUAAUGCAAAAAAUUUCUUUGUGGAAAUAGAACUAAUGGGAAAAGGGAGUUUGGACUAUCUAGCCAUAGGAUAAACAACACAAGGCACAGAAAACUUUGAACAAGGUGAAAUAGGAAUAAUAGAUAUAUUUCUCAUGGAACAAAUUGUUUGUCAUUGAAACUCUUUCUAGAUACAAAACUACUAUUGGAAAGUAAAAAACUCUUGGGAAUGGCAGUUGUAGGCCUUGAUUGAAGAAUGUAGAGACCACUUCUCUCCUUGCCAAUCUCCAGAGGGCUCUUCAAAGAAUGGCCUGCAAAAAACAAGAAGUAGAAGUAAAAAAGAGUGGAUUACUAAGCUGCUUACAUAAUUUGUGCACAGAUAGAAGAUUGUACUUAACAGAAGGUAUAUGCAACACAUUGUGUACUACCAGAUUAGAGAAAAGAGCUACUGAUCCAUAAUGAGUUACUAAAACUUUCUGAGAAUUAGGAAGAUUGAUUAUUCUACGCUUGAAUAAAGGCUUGAGAUUAGGAAAAAAAUUCUUAUUAUAAGACAUAUGUUCUGAAGCACCACUAUCUAGUAUCCAUGAAUGACUGUUGAAUUGAAAGAAACAUGCAGGUGACUUAAAGAAUUUGGGUGUACCAGCACAGUUUGCACUUGCAGUACCAUCAGAAGUACUUCCUCUUUGCUGUCCAUCUUCAACUGUUGAAAAAAGCUGAAGUAGCUGAGUUACAUUCUCCUGGUAAGUGAUUUUCCUUCAGUGAUUCCAAAUACCUAUUCUCCUUCUUCAUUUGAUAUUAGAGCAUUGUUUGCCUGGGCUGGUCCCUAAAAUUUCCUUGGCUUUGUGAAUUUGAAAUCUGCAGGAAAACCAUGGAUCCUAUAGCACUUAUCAAUGAUAUGUCCUGGCUUCUUGCAGUAAGCACAAAUCCCUGAACUCUUCUUUGCAUCAUAGGACCCCUUCUGUCCUUUGGAAUCACCAUAUUUCUUCACAUCUGCUUGGUUUAUUACCAUGAAGGAACUAGACUCCCCUGGGUAGGCAGGUACAAUAUGAAUUUCUCUUUGUUUUUCAUCUUGUAUUACCAAAGAGUAUGCCUUACCAAUGGAAUAUAAAGGAGAUGACAACAAUAUGUUUCUCCUAACUCCUAUGAAGGUUUCAUUCAUACCUAUAAGGAAUUUCAAAAGUCUCUCAUCUUGAUGAGCAUUGAUGCUCUUUGCCUUAGCCCCACAAUCACACUCACACACACAAGUACAAAAGGUAUUGAGUGCAUCUAGCUCAUCCCAUAAUCCUUUCAUCUUAGUAAAAUAGGUUGAAACACUCGAGUUACCUUGCACCACAACACUUAGUUCUUUUUGUAGCUGAAAUAACUUGGCUCCACUUGCCUGACCAAACCAAUCUUCCAGAUCAUGCCAUAGAUCUUUUGCACUCUCUGAGUACAAGACACUCUCAGCAAUUUCUUUGGAAAGUGAGAGGAGAAGCCAAGAAAGGACCAUGUCGUUGCAUCUUGCCCAAGCUCUUUGAAGACCAGAAUUUGCGUCUGGAAUAUCUAGGGUUCCAUCAAUGAAUCCUAGGUUGUUCUUAGCGGAUAAAGCUAUGACUAAGGCACUCCUCCACCCACCAUAUCCUCUGCCAUCAAAUACUGAGGAGACCGGUUCGUUCUUGGGUAGUCUGAAGGAUGGAGGUAAUAGGGACGAGUUGAAUCAACUAAACCAAUACCACUAGAACCAGCAGAUACAUUAGUUGUUGGAAUAGGGGGAGAGGAUCUGUAAAAGAAGAAGAUGAAUUUGAAUAAUAAAGAAAUGUGGCUUAAAGCAGAUCAACACUGCUCUGAUACCAUGAAGGAAUAGGAAUAAAAUAGAUUGAGAAAAUUAUCUUUUCUGCAUUGAAUGAAUCAAUAGUGUUGUACAGAACAUUGUUUAUAUACAACAGGGAUGGAAUCUAAAAUAACUACUUAUGCUACGUGUCUCUAAUUUAUUAGCUAAGCUAUAACAAACUAAAGUGUGAUGACCCGGCCGGUCGUCUUUUUAUGCCCCGUUUCCCUAUUAACUGCUUCCUCUAAGUUCAUUUAUACUAUUUUGGUUUGUCGAGAUGUUCGGUAAUAGAAUUCGGAGUGUUUUGGGACACUUAGUCCCUAAGUGAGAGCUUAAGUGUUAAAAAUGGUCCAUAAUUAUAACGGUGUGAAGACGACCUCGAAAUGGAAAUUCAAUGGUUCCGUUAUCUCUGUUAGGUGAUUUCGGGGUUGGGAGCAUGUUUGGAAUGUAUUUUGGAUGUCCGUAGCUCAUUUAGGCUAGAAAUGCCGAAAGUUAAAAUUUUGAUGUUUCCAGUCCGAUAGUGAAUUUUUGAUUUGAGGGUUUGAACGGGAUUCUGGAAGUUUCUGUAGCACCGUCAUGUCAAUCGAACGUGUAUUGGUUAGGUUUUGAAUCGAAAGCGAGUUUUGUUAAGUUUUGAAGUUUUUAAGUUCGAAUUAUUGAUUAAUUCGAGUUUCUGGCGUUGUUGUAGGUAGCUUAAGGAUUGGGAAAAGUUUGAAUGAUGUUAUGGGAUAUGUCUGUAGGUUUGGUUGAGGUCCCGGGGGCCUCGGGUGUGUUUCGGAUGCUCAACGGAGCAUUUUUGGAGUAGAAAACAUUGCAGAAUUCUUCAGCUGUUGCAUGUCUUUUUUUCCUUCGCGAUCGCGUCCCAUUUCACGCGGCCGCAUAGGCCAAUCUGGUAGGGUCCGAAAUUCCUUAAUCGCGAUCGCAGGGAUUGGUUUGCAAUCGCGUAACUCUACCUCUCCCCUAUUCGCGUUCGCGUGCCUUCUUACGCGAUUGCGUAAGGCCAUCUCUUUCCCGUCCGCGAUCGCAUGCUCCUUCUCAUGAUCGCAUAGGGCUCUUUCCUGGAGCCUUUAUUUUGAUCUUCGCGAUCGCGUCCCUAUCUUCGCGAUUGCGAUUCACUAAAUACCUGGGUAAAUAUUAAUAUUUCAAUAACUAAGCCUUCUUCCAUUUUUACAAAAACUCAAGCUAGAGAGCUCGGUCUUGGGAGAUUUUUUGAGGGAUUUUCAGAGGCAAAUAUUGGGUAAUGAUUCCUUACUCCUCUAUGACUAAAACCCACUAAUCUAAUCGUAAUUUCAACCUUUAAUUUCGGAUUUUUGAAUGAAAAUUGGGGUAAAGUUCUUAGAUCUAAUUGUGAGGAUUUGAUGGGUUAUUUGACCUCCAAUUUGGGAGAUUUUUAUAUGGUUAGACUCGUGAGAGUACGAGGUUUAUGAAAAUAUGAAAAUUAUUCGAUUCCGAGACAUUGACCUGAGGAGCAUUUUGAUUAUUUUACCUAUUCUCGCGCCUUAGCUUUAAUUUAAUUGAGACGUUGGCUGUAGGGAAAAUNNNNNNNNNNNNUUGAUCAAGACAAUGUUUCUGAAAAUGUGAAAAUUAUUCAAUUUUGAGACGUUGGCUGUAGGGAAAAUUUGGUCAUUUCACAUAUUUUCGCGCCUUAGCUUUAAUUUUAACAGUGUAAUUAGUUGUUACUUGUGAUGUUAUUUACAAUAUGUAAUUGGUUUGAAUAGAUUUGGGCCACUCGGAGUCUGAUAUUCAUGGCAAAGGCAUUGUUUGUUAGCAAUUUUGUACCGGUUCGAGGUAAGUGGCUUGUCUAACUUUUUGUGGGGAACUCUCCCCUUAGGAUGCUGUUGUUUAAAUGCCUUGUGUGCGAGGUGACGGGCGCGUACUUGUACUAGUUGUUGAAAAUUCACCUUACUUGGCUUAUUUAGACUGUGUUUCUCCGUAUAUUUAGCUGUUAAAAUGCAAUUUCACUUGUUUUAUCUUAGGAAAAGCAUGUUAGUAAUUUAUUUGCUCUAUUUGACUAAAUUGCAAUAUCUGUCCUUUUUGUAAGGAUGCUAGGCUCUAGAUCUUUACAUGUUGUUGUACUUGGCUUCUUUCUAUUAAAUAUUGAAUUGUUUGUGAUAUGUUUACGAUUGGGACUACGAGUUCAAUUCCCCGGAGAUCCCCCUAUUACUUAUAUGAUAGACUACGGUUUAAAUUCCUGGCAUAUUCUCUGUUAUUGAUAUGAUGGACUACGAGUUCAAUUCCUGAUAGAUCCCAUGCUGUUUAUAUGAUGGACUACAGGUUCAAUUCCCGGUAGAUCCUCUGUUAUUGACAGGAUGGACUACGGGUUAGAUUCUCGGUAGAUCUCCUAUUAUUGAUAUGAUAGACUAAGGGUCCAAUUCACGGUAGAUCCUCUAUUAUUGAUGUGAUGGACUGCGGAUUCAAUUCCCGGGAGAUCCUCUGAUGUUAGUAUGAUGGAUUGCAGGUUCGAUUCCCGGAAGAUCCUCAGAUAUUGGUAAGAAUGGACUGCAGGUUCGAUUCCCAGAGCUCCAUGCGGCCUCCUGACUUUUGAGUGAUUGUUCUUGUAUUCGUAGAUUCUAUUUGUAGCCUGUUCUGUUCUAUUUAUUGUCUUGCUAGAUACUUGAGAUUUACUGCAUUUCAUACUAUCAUUUUAUCUUAUACUCAUUCUUAUGUUCAUAUCAGUAGGGCCUCGACCUUCCUCGUCACUACUCCACCGAGGUUAGGCUUGGCACUUACUAAGUACCACUGUGGUUUACUCAUGUUACUCUUCUGCACACUUUUGCUAUGCAAAUCCAGGUACUACUGGUUGGACGCGCUAUUAGGGAUUUUGGAGCUACAUUUGGAGGCUCUAGGUAUGCAUCUGUCGCGUCCAUUGAUCCGAAGAAUUUUGCUAUGCAGAUCUUGGUGCUUCUGGUCGAGCGCGCUAUCAGUGAUUUCAGAGUUACACUUGGAGACUUGAGAUAUACAUCUGCCGCGUCCGUAGAUCCGAAGAAUCUCCUUCUAUUCUACCUUUUAGUUAGCAGUUUCAUUCAUGUAUUCAAUUGUUGUAGACACUUCUGGAUGUCAGAUUCGUGUGUUAUGUUUUUACUCUUAGCCUGUGUUGCCCGUAGAUUUCCGGGUCUUGGAGGUUGUUACAUUGUUUGAGUUGAAGUGUAUGUGUCGGGCGGCACACCAUACAUUUUCUUAUGUUAUUCAGUAUUGUUUAUCAUUUUCGUAAAAGUUGUUGAAUUUCCGCAAUGUGUCAGGCUUACCUAGUCGCGAAAACUGGGUGCAGUCAUGACGGGUUUACGAUUUGUGAACUAGGUUCAUGACAAGUUGGUAUCAGAGCUCUAGGAUCAUAUGAGUCAUGAGACACAUGCCGGUUAUUUAGAGUCUUGCUGAUCGGUACAGAGACGUCUGUACUUAUCUACGGGAGGCUACGUAACUAUUUAGGAAAAUCUUCACUUCAUUUGAAUUCUUGUCGUGCUAUGUUUUUGACCUCGAUUCUAAACUUCUGUCUUCUAUUCUCUCACAGAUGGUGAGGACACGCACGACCCGAGACAAUCAGGCACCUGCACUCCCUCCUGCAUCCGCUAAAGGCAGGGGCCGGGGUAGGGGUCGUUGACGCGUGCGGGGUGCAGCUAGGGCACCUGCGCGAGUAGCCGCCGAGGUGCCACCAGCGGAUCUAGUCAGGACUCAGGCAUCAAAGAUGCCCACAGCCACCACUACUCCAGCUGUUCAGGAGGCAUUGGCGCAGUUUAUGAGCAUGUNNNNNNNNNNNNNNNNNNNNNNNNNNNNNNNNNNNNNNNNNNNNNNNNNNNNNNNNNNNNNNNNNNNNNNNNNNNNNNNNNNNNNNNNNNNNNNNNNNNUCCACUGCCUCCCAUUGGCGCAGUUUAUGAGCAUGUAUACCACACUGUCACAGGAAGGGUUGCUUCCACUUCCUGCAGCCACGUCCCAGACCCGGGGAGGAGCCCAGACUCGCGCAGCCAGCGGUUCAGAGUAGAGGGUGCAUAUGGGACUGAUUCUAGAUAUUAUUCCUACCCAGCCUGCAGUACCGCUUCUGCCCGAGGAUGGGGCACAUGCUUCGGUGGAUGAGCAGCGUAGGUUAGAGCGGUUCAAGAAGUAUGACCCUCCUAUUUUCAACGGACUAGCUACAGAUGAUGCUUUCGGGGUUUUGGAGAAUUGUCACCGCAUGUUUUGCACCAUGGGUAUUACUGCUUCGAGUGGGGUUUCCUUUGUAGCUUUCCAGCUUUGGAGAGCCGCCUAUGACUGGUGGCGAACCUUUGAUUUAGAUAGCCCGGACGAGGCUGCCUCCCGUACUUGGACUCAGUUUUUAAAUAUAUUUCUGAGGGAGUUUGUUCCCCAGAGCCUCCGAGAUGCAUGGCGUGUGGAGUUUGAGAACUUGCGCCAGGGCCUUAUGAUUGUCUCUGAGUAUGACAUCUGUUAUACUAGGUUGGCCAGACAUGCGCCUGCUUUGGUGGCUACUAUUCAUAGGGAUGUUCAAAACCGAUCCGAAACCGAAACCAAAAACCGAUCCGAAAUCGAAGCUUAAUGGCUUACUGGUAAUGGCUUAACGGCUUAACGGACGGGGAACAGAUUGAAUUUGUUCUAUUAAUGACUUAUCAGAUUGAGGAUAGAUUAUUUAAUUUUCUUAACGGGUAACCCGUUAAUAAUAUAAAUAUAUAUAAUUUAUUUUUAUUUAUAUAUAUUAAAUAUAAAAAAAUUAAAAACCUUGAAAAUGAAUAACAAAAACAAACAAAGUUACAAUUUACAAAUUGGUCGUAUGUUAGCAGAGAAAAUACCAAUUCACGAAGAUUUUAAUCUUCUUAUAUUAGAAGUUUCAGAGACGAUGCUAAGUGUUUUAGAUCAAACAUAUCUAUUUCAAGUACUGCUUCUUCCCUGGCUACACCUUAAGAGGUAAUAUUAGUACUAUUUCCCUCUUCCUUCCUCAUUAUUGUUUUAUGUUACUAACUAUUUUCUCAUAAAGAUUUAAUCUUUUUUACAGAAGAAAUUGAUCCUUCAACUUAUUCUUUUGCCACUGCCCUUAAAGGUGAGUCCUUUAGAAUAUCAGUCAAAACUUCUGUUUUACACAUCUUUUACCACUUCCCUUAAAGGUGAGUCCUUUAGAAUAUCAGUCAAAACUUUUGUUUUACACAUGCAAAUUCAACAUGUAGAGUCAUGCGUAAUAUUUUAAUUUCUUUAGCAAAUGUGUAUAUUUUAAUCCAAUAUGCCGAAUAUGCCUGCCAUGGAUGGUGCCCUACUCCAUCUACUAAUUUAGCUUCUGUCAAUUCUUUUCUAGUGGCAUUCAUCGGCAUCCUUUGUUUGCUUCUUUGUUAUCCGGAAAAGGGUUUAAAAUCAGUUGUGUUUACCUAAUGUCAGGCUGAUAACUGCCAGAUAACCGCCUGUUAAGAGCUAAAUCGUUACCAAUCUGCCCGCUAUCUUAUCAGGUGGCUAACAGAUUAAUACAUUUGAAAGCCGAUAACCGUUAAGAGUAAAUAACCGCCCAAUACGCCCGAUAAGCAGCCCUAACUAUUUGUGAGAGGGUUCCCAGGUUUAUGGAGGGUCUUAUUCCUUCCAUCAGGUCUGGCAUGGCGCGAUAGUUGGAGAUGGAUAUACCCUAUCAGCAGGUGGUGAGUAUAGCCAGGAGGAUUGCAGGUUUAUCGAGAGUUUUAUUCCUUCCAUUAGGUCUGGCAUGGUGCGAGAGUUGGAGAUGGAUAUACCCUAUCAGCAUUUGGUAAGUAUAGCCAGGAGGAUAGAGGGUAUGCAUGCCAGAGAGCUAGAGGAGAGAGAGGCCAAGAGGUCUUGAGAGUCUUGCCAUUUAUCUGGUACCCGUACUUCAGGAGCAGGCAACAUGGUAGGGGCUAUGUGGGUCGCCCAGUUCACUCAACUCUUCCUUCAUCCAACAGUACCCCAGCACCUCCCAGAUCUCUGGAGCCUUAUUAUGCACCUCCAGUUUCUAGUGUGCUUCCUGCGCAGGGUACCUCCAGAGGUUAGUCUAGCAGGGGUAGAUCCACUCAGUCACAGCCACCGCACCCUCACACAACUUGUUAUGAGUGCGGGGAUACCUGCUAUUUGGUUAGAGAGUGCCCCAGACGUGGGAGGGGUGUGUCUUCUCAGACUUCACAGCUUCAGCAUGCUCCACAAGGUCCGCAUGCCACUGUUCCAGCUCUAGCUGCCACCCCACCUGCGCAGCCAGCCAGGGGCGGGGAUCGAGGAGAUAGAGGUCGCCCUCGAGGGAGAGGCCGGGCCAGAUUUUAUGCUAUUCCUGAUCGUGCCGAGGCUGUCGCCUCUGAUUCUGUUAUCACAGACAUUAUAUUGGUUAGUCACAGAGAGGUAUCGGUUCUAUUCGAUCCAGGUUCUAAUUCUUAUGUGUCAUUUUAUUUUGCCUCGCAUUUGGGUACAGCCCGAGAGACCUUGAGCUCUCCUAUUUAUGUUUCUACUCCCGUGGGAGAUUCCCUUGUUGUGGACCACAUAUAUCGGUCAUGUUUGGUUAUUAUUCGUGGUUUUGAGACCUGGGCAUAUCUUUUAUUACUUGAUAUGGUUGAUUUUGAUAUUAUCUUGGGCAUAGACUGGCCCCAGUUAGCUAUUCUUGAUUGUCACGCUAAGACCGUUACGCUGGCUAUGCCUGGUUUUCCACGUAUUUAGUGGAGCGGUACUUUUGAUCACACUCCCAGUAGAGUUAUAUCCUUUCUUAAAUCUCAGCGUAUGGUUGAGAAGGGGUGCGCCAUGUAUUUAACCUAUGUGAGAGAUAUCAGUGCUGAUACCCCUUCUGUUGACUCUGUUCAAGUGGUAUGGGAUUUUCCCGAUGUGUUUCCAGCUGAUCUUUCGGGCAUGUCGUUCGAUCAAGACAAUGAUUUUGGUAUUUAUUUGUUGCCGGGCACUCAGCCCAUAUCUAUUCCUCCUUACCGUAUGGCUCCUCCUGAGUUGANNNNNNNNNNNNNNNNNNNNNNNNNNNNNNNNNNNNNNNNNNNNNNNNNNNNNNNNNNNNNNNNNNNNNNNNNNNNNNNNNNNNNNNNNNNNNNNNNNNNNNNNNNNNNNNNNNNNNNNNNNNNNNNNNNNNNNNNNNNNNNNNNNNNNNNNNNNNNNNNNNNNNNNNNNNNNNNNNNNNNNNNNNNNNNNNNNNNNNNNNNNNNNNNNNNNNNNNNNNNNNNNNNNNNNNNNNNNNNNNNUUGCCUCAUAUUGAUGAUCUAUUUGACCAGCUUCAGGGCGCACAUGUGUUUUCUAAGAUUGAUUUGCGCUCAGGUUAUCACCAGCUAAAGAUUCGGGAUUCGUAUAUCCCGAAGUCUGCUUUCAGGAAUCGGUAUGGUCAUUACGAGUUCCUUGUCAUGUCAUUUGGGCUGACCAACGACCCAACAACUUUCAUGCAUUUGAUGCACGGUGUAUUCAGGCACUAUCUCGACUCAUUUGUCAUUGUUUUCAUAGAUGAUAUUCUUGUAUACUCCCGGAGUCGAGAAGAUCAGGAGCAGCACCUUAGGACAGUGCAUCAGACCCUGAGAGAAAAUAAAUUAUAUGCAAAGUUCUCAAAAUGUGAGCUUUGGUUGAGUUCUGUGGCAUUCCUAGGCCACAUGAUAUCGAGUGAGGGCAUUCGGGUAGAUCCGAAGAAGGUGGAGGCCGUGCAGAGUUGGCCAAGGCCCUCCUCAACUACAAAGAUCCGCAGUUUUAUUCGGGUAGAUCCAAAUAAGGUGGAGGCCGUGCAGAGUUAGCCCAGGCCCUCCUUAGAUUUAGAGAUUCACAGUUUCGUUGGCCUGGCAGGGUAUUACCAUCGUUUUGUGGAGGGGUUCUCGUCGAUUGCAGCCCAUAUGACUAGGUUGACCCAGAAGGGUGCUCCUUUUUAGUAGUGAGACGAGUGUGAGGCGAGCUUCCAAAUGCUCAAGACGGCUUUGACUUCAGCCCUUAUUCUGAUUUUGCCUAUUGGUUCGGGGUUCUAUACAGUAUAUUCUGAUGCCUCACGAGUUGGACUUGGAGCGGUAUUGAUGUAGGACGGUAAAGUGAUUACCUACACGGACAAAAAGUUUAAGGUGCAUGAAAAGAACUAUCAUGUCCAUGACCUUGAGUUAGCUGCUAUUGUUCACUCCUUAAAGAUCUGGCGUCAUUAUUGUUACAGCGUCCCUUGUGAGAUUUACACGGAUCAUCGGAGUUUGCAGCACUUGUUCAAGCAGAAGGAUCUGAACUUGCGCCAAAGGAUAUGGUUGGAGCUACUGAAGGAUUAUGAUAUUGCUAUUCCUUAUCACCCGGGCAAGGCCAGUGUGGUAGCCGAUGCCUUGAGUCGCCGGGCAGAGAGUCUGGGGAGUUUUGCAUAUUUACCAGCUUCAGAGAGACCUAUGGCGAUGGAUGUUCAGGCUUUAGCCAGUCAGUUCAUGAGAUUGGACAUUUCGGAGCCCAGUCGGGUUCUAGCUUGUAUGGUUUCUCAUUCUUCAUUAUUCGAUCAUAUCAGGGAACAACAGUAUGAUGACCCUCAUUUGCUUGUCCUCAGGGACACAGUUCAGCAUGGCGAUGCUAAGGAUGUAACUAUUGGAGAUGACGAGGUAUUGAGGAUGCAGGGUCAGAUUUGUGUGCCCGAUGUUGAUGAUAUUUGGGAGUUGACAUUGACUGAGGCCCAUAUCUCGUGGUACUCCAUCCAUCCGGGUUCCGCGAAGAUGUAUCAGGAUCUGAGGAAGCAUUGCUGGUGGAGGCGGAUGAAGAAGAACAUAGCAGAGUUUGUGGCUAGAUGCCUCAACUGUCAGCAUGUAAAGGCUGAGCACCAGAGGCCGGGAGGGUUACUCCAGGAGAUGGAGAUUCCAGAGUGGAAAUGGGAGAAUAUCACCAUGUAUUUUGUGACUGGUCUCCCUCUGACGGCGAGGAAGUUUGAUUCUAUUUGGGUUAUUGUGGAUCGGCUGACCAAGUCUGCUCAUUUCAUUCCAGCAUGUACUUCUUACUCAACAGAGUGGUUAGCAGGGAUUUAUAUCAGGGAGAUUGUCCGUCUGCACGACAUUCCAUUUUCUAUAAUCUCAAACAGGGGUUCGGUGUUUACAUCACGAUUUUGGAGAGCCGUUCAGCAUGAUUUGGGUACCCGGGUGACCAUGAGUAUAGCUUUUCACCCUCAGACGGACGGACAGUCCGAGCGCACUAUUCAAAAUUUUGAGGAUAUGCUCCGUGCGUGCGCGAUUGAGUUUAGAGUUUGCAUACAACAACAGGUAUCAGUCCAGUAUUCAGAUGGCGCCUUAUGAGGCCUUAUAUGGUAGGAGAUGUAGAUCCCUGGUGGGUUGGUUCGAGCCGGGCGAGCCCGGCUAUUGGGCACUUAGUUGGUUCAGGAUUCGGUUGAGUCCAUACAGAAGAGUUAUGCGAAACGGAAGGUUCGUGAUGUAUCCUUUUAUGGUUGGUGAGUGGGUUUUGCUUUCGGUCUCGCCUAUGAAAGGUGUCAUGAGGUUUGGAAAGAAAGGGAAGUUGAGCCCGAGGCUCAUUGGCCCAGUUGAUAUUUUUAGGCAGAUUGGGAAGGUUGCUUAUAAGCUUGCCUUACCUCCCAGUUCGGCCGGGGUUCAUCCAUUAUUUUAUGUUUCGAUGCUUCGGAGGUAUCACGGUGACCCGUCUCACGUGUUGGAGUUCACUUCAGUCUAGUUGAAACAAUGACUUGUCAUGUGUUGAGGAGCUAGUGUCAAUAUUAGAUAGGCAGGUCUGAAAGCUCAGGUCAAAGGAUAUAACUUCAGUAAAGGUUCAGUGGUGGGGUCAGCCGGCCAAGGAAGCGACUUGGGAGACCGAGAGGGAUAUGCGCAGUCGAUACCCUCAUCUUUUUGCUACUUCAGGUAUCUUCUCUAUGCUCGUUCGAGGAUGAACAAAUGUUUAUGUGUAGGAGGAUGUGACGACUCGGCCGGUCGUCUUUGGAAUUUAUGCCCCGUUUCCCCAUUACUGCUUCCCCUAAGUUCAUUUCUGCUAUUUUGGUUUGCCGGGAUGUUCGGUAAUAGAAUUUGGAAUGUUUUGGGACACUUAGUUCCUAAGUGAGAGCUUAAGUGUUGAAAAAUGGUCCGUAAUCAGAACAGUGUGAAGAUGACCUCGGAAUGGAAAUCCGAGGUUCCGUUACCUCCGUUAGGUGAUUUCAGGGUUGGGAACGUGUUCGGAAUGUAUCCUGGAUGUCCGUAGCUCAUUUAGGCUAGAAAUGCCGAAAGUUAGAAUUUUGAAGUUUACGGUCCGAUAGUGAAUUUUUGAUUCUAGGGUCGGAACAGGAUUCCGGAAGUUACUCUAGCGCCUUCAUGUCAUUUGGGAUGUGCGUGCAAAAUUUCAGGUCAAUCGGACGUGUGAUCUGAGGGUCGGAACGAGAUUCCGGAAGUUGUUGUAGCACCGCCAUGUCAUUUGGUACGUGCGUGCAAAAUGUAAGGUCAAUCAGACGUGAUUUGGUUAGGUUUGGAAUCGAAAGCGAGUUUGGUUAUGUUUUGAAAUUUUUAAGUUCAAAUUAUUGAUUAAUUCGUGUUUCCGGCGUUGUUUUAGGUGGUUUAAGGAUUGGUACAUGUUUGAAUGACGUUAUGGAAUAUGUCCGUAGGUUUGGUUGAGGUCCAGGGGGCCUCACGUGUGUUAAAAUUUCAGGUCAAUCAGACGUGCUUUGGUUAGGUUUGGGAUCGAAAGCGAGUUUGGUUAUGUUUUGAAAAUUUUAAGUUCAAAUUAUUGAUUAAUUCGAGUUUCCGGCGUUGUUUUAGGUGGUUUAUGGAUUGGUACAUGUUUGAAUGACGUUAUGGAAUAUGUCCGUAGGUUUGGUUGAGGUCCCAGGGGCCUCAGGUAUGUUUCGGAUACUCAAAAGAGCAUUUUUGGAGUUGAAUACAUUGCAGAAUUCUUCAGCUGUUGAAGGUCUUUUUUUCCUUCUUCGCGGUCGCGUCCCAUUUCACGAGAUCGCAUAGGCCAAUCAGGUAGGGUCCCAAAUUCCUUAAAUCAUGAUCGCAGGGAUUGGUUCGCGAUCGCGUAACUCUAACCUCUCCCCUCUUCGCGUUCGCGUGCCUUCUUAUGCGAUCGCGUAAGGCCAUCUCCUUUCCGUCCGUGAUCGCAUGCUCUUUCUCGAGAUCGCGUAGGGAUUUUUCCUGGACCCUCUAUUUUGAUCUUCGCGAUUCACUAAAUACCUGGGCAAAUAUUAAUAUUUCAAUAACGAAGCCUUCUUCCAUUUUUACAAAAACUCAAGCUAGAGAGCUCGGUCUUGGGAGAUUUUUUGAGGGAUUUUCAGAGGAAAAAAUUGGGUAAUGAUUCCUUACUCCUCUAUGACUAAAACCCACUAAUCUAAUCUCAAAUUCAAGCNNNNNNNNNNNNNNNNNNNNNNNNNNNNNNNNNNNNNNNNNNNNNNNNNNNNNNNNNNNNNNNNNNNNNNNNNNNNNNNNNNNNNNNNNNNNNNNNNNNNNNNNNNNNNNNNNNNNNNNNNNNNNNNNNNNNNNNNNNNNNNNNNNNNNNNNNNNNNNNNNNNNNNNNNNNNNNNNNNNNNNNNNNNNNNNNNNNNNNNNNNNNNNNNNNNNNNNNNNNNNNNNNNNNNNNNNNNNNNNNNNNNNNNAUGGUCAUUUCACAUAUUUUCGCGCCUUAGCUUUAAUUUUAACAGUGUAAUUAGUUACUUGCUAUGUUAUUUACAAUAUGUAUUUGGUUUGAAUAGAUUUGGGCCACUCGGAGUCUGAUACUUGUGGCAAGGGCAUUGUUUCUUAGCGGUUUUGUACUGGUUCGAGGUAAGUGGCUAGUUUAACUUUGUGUUGGGGACCCUUCCCCUUAGGAUAUCCUUGCUUGUUGUUUAAAUGCCUUGUGCGCGAGGUGACGGGCGCGUACUUGUGCUAGUUGUUGAAAAUUCNNNNNNNNNNNNNNNNNNNNNNNNNNNNNNNNNNNNNNNNNNNNNNNNNNNNNNNNNNNNNNNNNNNNNNNNNNNNNNNNNNNNNNNNNNNNNNNNNNNNNNNNNNNNNNNNNNNNNNNNNNNNNNNNNNNNNNACUUGUUUUAGCUUAGGAAAAACAUAUUUGUAAUUUAUUUGCUCUACUUGACUAAAUUGCAAUAUCUGUCCUCUUUGUGAGCAUUCUAGGCUCUAGAUCUUUACUUGUUGUUGUACUUGGCUUCUUUCUGUUAAAUAUUAAAUUGUUGUGAUGUGUUUACGUUUGAGACUACGGGUUCAAUUCCCGAGAGAUCCCCUUGUUACUGAUUUGAUGGACUAUGGAUUCAAUUCUCGGUAGAUCCUCUGUUAUUGAUAUGAUGGACUACGAGGUCAAUUCCCGGUAGAUCCCCUGUUGUUGAUAUGAUGGACUACGGGUUCAAUUACCAGUAGAUCCUCUGUUAUUGAUGUGACGGACUACGGGUUCGAUUCCCGGUAGAUCCCUUGUUAUUGAUGUGACGGACUACGGUUUCAAUUCCCGGUAGAUCCUCUGUUAUUGAUAUGAUGGACUACGGGUUCAAUUCCCGGGAGAUCCUAUGAUGUUGGUAAGAUGGACUGCCGGUUUGAUGCCCGGAAGAUCCUCAGAUAUUGGUAAGAAUGGACUGCGGGUUCGAUUCCCCGAGCUCCAUGCCGCAUCCUGAUUUUUGAGUGAUUGUUCUUGUAUUCAUAGAUUCUAUUUGUAGCAUGUUCUGUUCUAUUUAUUGUCUUUCUAGAUACUUGAGAAUUACUGCAUUUCCUACUGUCAUUUUAUCUUAUAUUCAUUCUUAUGUUCAUAUCAGUAGGGCCUCGACCUUCCUCGUCACUACUCCACCGAGGUUAGGCUUGACACUUACUGAAUACCGCUGUGGUAUACUCAUGCUACUCUUCUGUACACUUUUGUUGUAUAGAUCCAGGUACUUUUGGUCGAGCGCGUUAUUAGUGAUUUCAGAGCUACACUUGGAGACUUGAGGUAUGCAUCUGCAGCGUCCGCAGAUCCGAAGAGUCUCCUUCUAUUCUACCUUUUAGUUAGCAGUUUCAUUCAUGUACUCAGUUGUUGUAGACACUUCUGGAUGUUAGAGCCGUGUGUUAUGUUUUUACUCUUAGCCUGUGUUGCCCGUGGGUUUUCGGGUCUUGGAGGUAGUUACAUUAUUUGAGUUGAAG